GACGGAGGAUGCAAGCGUUAUCCGGAAUGAUUGGGCGUAAAGCGUCUGUAGGUGGUUUCUUGAGUCUACUGUUAAAGAUCAGGGCUUAACCCUGGGCAGGCAGUAGAAACUAAGAAGCUUGAGUACGGUAGGGGCAGAGGGAAUUCCCGGUGUAGCGGGUGAAAUGCGUAGAGAUCGGGAAAGAACACCAACGGCGAAAGCACUCUCGCUGGGACCGAAACUGACACUGAGAAGACGAAAGCUAGGGGAGCGAAUGGG
rnacentral:rRNA from 1 species